rfam:Triticum aestivum genome assembly, contig: Triticum_aestivum_CS42_TGACv1_scaffold_290294_4AL
CAUCUAUUCCCUUCGUUUUGAAUUACUUGUCGCAGGUAUGGAUGUAUCUAGAUGUAUUUUAGUUCUAGAUACAUCCAUUUUUGCGACGACUAAUUUGAAACGGCGAGAGUAUGUG